rnacentral:rRNA from 1 species
UUUUAAAUGGCCGCAGUAUUUUGACUGUGCAAAGGUAGCAUAAUCAUUAGUUUUUUAAUUAAAAGCUUGUAUGAAAGGCUGGACGAGGUAAAAUCUGUCUCUAUUUAAAUUAUAGUAGAAUUUAACUUUUAAGUCAAAAGGCUUAAAUGUUAUUAAAAGACGAGAAGACCCUAUAGAUCUUUAUAGUUUAUUAAAUUAAAUUAAUUUAGAAAUGUUAAUGUUUUAUUUGAUUAAGUUAUUUUAUUGGGGUAAUAAAAAGAUUGAAUUAAUUCUUUUUUAUAAUAAACAUUAAUUUAUGAAUAUUAAUGAUCCAGUUUUACUGAUUAUAAGAUUAAGUUACCUUGGGGAUAACAGCGUAAUUUUUUUAGAGAGUUCAUAUCGAUAAAAAAGUUUGCGACCUCGAUGUUGGAUUAAAGAUUAUUUUAGGUGUAGAAGCUUAAUAAUUUUGGUCUGUUCGACCAUUAAAUCUUUACAUGAUCUGAGUUCAGACCGGCGUAAGCCAGGUCGGUUUCUAUCUUUAAUAAAACAAAAUAUUUUAGUACGAAAGGACCAAAUAUUUGAUAUAUUUAUAUUUAACUCAUUGAAUAUUA